UUUUUAUUGGAUGAUAACUUUUAUGUGUCAUGUUCUAAUUGGUAAAUGAAAACAACAAUGCAUUUCAUCUUUCAUGGAGUUGACAUUCAAUCAGAAUAUAACACGUGACAGUCAUCAUUC
rfam:Glycine soja cultivar W05 scaffold151_21, whole genome shotgun sequence.